GGUCCUAAGGUAGCGAAAUUCCUUGUCGGGUAAGUUCCGACCCGCACGAAAGGCGUAAUGAUUUGGAUGCUGUCUCGGAGAGAGGCUCGGUGAAAUAGACUUGUCUGUGAAGAUGCGGACUACCUGCACCAGGACAGAAAGACCCUAUGAAGCUUUACUGUAACUUGAAAUUGAAAUUGGACUUUAUUCGCGCAGUAUAGGUGGGAGGCGUCGAUUAUAAUCUUGCGGGAUUAUUGGAGCCAUCAGUGAGAUACCACUCUUGUAAUGUUAGAUUUCUAACUUUGAAUCAUUAUCUGGUCAAAGGACAAUUUCAGGCGGGCAGUUUGACUGGGGCGGUCGCCUCCUAAAUGGUAACGGAGGCGUACAAAGGUUUCCUCUGAACGGUUAGAAAUCGUAUCUAGAGUGUAAAGGCAUAAGGAAGCUUGACUGUGAGACCUACAAGUCGAGCAGGGACGAAAGUCGGUCUUAGUGAUCUGACGGUACUGAGUGGAAAGGCCGUCACUCAACGGAUAAAAGUUACUCUAGGGAUAACAGGCUGAUCUCCCCCAAGAGUUCACAUCGACGGGGAGGUUUGGCACCUCGAUGUCGGCUCAUCGCAUCCUGGGGCGGUAGUACGUCCCAAGGGUUGGGCUGUUCGCCCAUGAAAGCGGUACGCGAGCU
rnacentral:rRNA from 1 species